GACGAACGCUGGCGGCGUGCCUAAUACAUGCAAGUUGAGCGAUGAAGAUUGGUGCUUGCACCAAUUUGAAGAGCAGCGAACGGGUGAGUAACGCGUGGGGAAUCUGCCUUUGAGCGGGGGACAACAUUUGGAAACGAAUGCUAAUACCGCAUAACAACUUUAAACAUAAGUUUUAAGUUUGAUAGAUGCAAUUGCAUCACUCAAAGAUGAUCCCGCGUUGUAUUAGCUAGUUGGUGAGGUAAAGGCUCACCAAGGCGAUGAUACAUAGCCGACCUGAGAGGGUGAUCGGCCACAUUGGGACUGAGACACGGCCCAAACUCCUACGGGAGGCAGCAGUAGGGAAUCUUCGGCAAUGGACGAAAGUCUGACCGAGCAACGCCGCGGGAGUGAAGAAGGGUUUCGGAUCGUAAAACUCUGUUGGUAGAGAAGAACGUUGGUGAGAGUGGAAAGCUCAUCAAGUGACGGUAACUACCCAGAAAGGGACGGCUAACUACGUG
rnacentral:rRNA from 1 species